GGGGAAUAUUGGACAAUGGGCGAAAGCCUGAUCCAGCAAUGCCGCGUGAGUGAAGAAGGCCUUAGGGUUGUAAAGCUCUUUUACCCGGGAUGAUAAUGACAGUACCGGGAGAAUAAGCUCCGGCUAACUCCGUGCCAGCAGCCGCGGUAAUACGGAGGGAGCUAGCGUUGUUCGGAAUCACUGGGCGUAAAGCGCACGUAGGCGGCUUUGUAAGUUAGAGGUGAAAGCCCGGGGCUCAACUCCGGAACUGCCUUUAAGACUGCAUCGCUUGAAUCUGGGAGAGGUAAGUGGAAUUCCGAGUGUAGAGGUGAAAUUCGUAGAUAUUCGGAAGAACACCAGUGGCGAAGGCGGCUUACUGGACCAGAAUUGACGCUGAGGUGCGAAGGCGUGGGGAGCAAAC
rnacentral:rRNA from 1 species